rnacentral:sRNA from 1 species
GUCACCAACAGUCUAUAUAAACUUUGUAAGUUAGUCAGGGGCGAUCACUUGUACUGAGAUUGGACAUUCACCUCUUGAUCUCAACCUGUUUACUACCAGAAUGUUCAACUAUUUGGUGUGGCUGGCCUGUCUAGUUCUGCUGGUCAUUAGUCUAGCGACGUCACAAUUGAUGCCACCAGGCGCUGCAGAGCCUCCUACACCUCCCCCAUCUUUUCUCAACUGGUUGUACCUAAUGCACGUCUUCGAUAAAUAGCAACAGGAUUUGACAACUACCGAUGUCAGAACAUCAAAAUGUCUAACUUGGAAAUGAAUGUACUAAAGCAUCUUGAACUUUAGAAUGGUGUUCUACCUGUUACUUAUGUCAACGCGAACAAUUAUUUCUUAAAAUAUGUCAAGAGGUCACUGAAUGUUUUUACUUGCUCAGUAUCCCAUUUUGUUUGAGAGAGAGAUAGUUUUGUUUUCUUUUGUAAACAUUGAACAUAUCACAUUUGAGCUGUACAUAAACAUUAUAAGCAACUACACAAACAAGCAGCGAACCAAAAUGAAAGAGAGACGUCUUGGAGCUCUCUUAAAUAAGUGAAGUUCUUGUCUAAAUAAAACAUUUCUAAGUGUCUUAGGUCAAAAGAAUUUUAACUUAUAAAAAGCGGUUAACCGUAGUAUCAAGCAUUAAUUAAACAUUUUUUAACGACAUUAAUAAGCACUGUAUUACAAAGACACUGUAUUACAAAGACACUGUAUUACAAAGACACUGUAUUACAAAGACACUGUAUUACAAAGACACUGUAUCAGGAAGGCGUUAAAUUGCGCUUAUUUUUUGUUUCUUAUCUUUAUUUUAAUUCUAAUAUUUAGAUAACGACAUAGAAUGUUUCCAUGGUUACAUUGAUGUAAACAAUAGUUUCUCUGCAGCCUCAAUGUUAUACAGAGUGAAACGAGCAAGUCAGCCAUCUUGCCAGUGUUGUUUAUCUCACAUAAGGAACAGUUGCACACGUCUCAUUCAACUUAAUGAUUACUUCCCUUUCCUUUCAAACAUAUGUGACGUAAUAUUAUUUGUACAUGAAAGAUGAUGUAUAUAGUAUAUUUUGAUUUUGUAUUAUACAUUGAGUUAAAUAAAUAAAUAUGUCUGGCGCUUGGUUCAAGCAUUGCUAGUGUAAUUUGAAAUCAAAUUAGUGUAAACAAACAAAACAACUAAACAAAAAAUAAACAUUGGUAUACAUGCUA